rnacentral:rRNA from 1 species
UACGUAGGGUGCAAGCGUUAAUCGGAAUUACUGGGCGUAAAGCGUGCGCAGGCGGUUUUGUAAGUCUGAUGUGAAAUCCCCGGGCUCAACCUGGGAAUGGCAAUGGAGACUGCAAGGCUAGAGUUUGGCAGAGGGGGGUAGAAUUCCACGUGUAGCAGUGAAAUGCGUAGAUAUGCGGAGGAACACCGAUGGCGAAGGCAAUCCCCUGGGCCCGCACUGACGCUCAUGCACGAAAGCGUGGGGAGCAAACAGGAU